rnacentral:rRNA from 1 species
GCCCAAGAGAUCGGGAUAACACCUGGAAACAGAUGCUAAUACCGGAUAACAANAGAUGAUGCCUAUCAACUGUUUAAAAGAUGGUUCUGCUAUCACUCUUGGAUGGACCUGCGGUGCAUUAGCUAGUUGGUAGGGUAACGGCCUACCAAGGCGAUGAUGCAUAGCCGAGUUGAGAGACUGAUCGGCCACAUUGGGACUGAGACACGGCCCAAACUCCUACGGGAGGCAGCAGC